rnacentral:rRNA from 1 species
AUACGGAGGGUCCAAUCGUUAUCCGGAAUCAUUGGGCUUAAAGGGUUCGUAGGCGGGUCAAUAAGUCAGAGGUGAAAUCUUGCAGCUUAACUGUAAAAUUGCCUUUGAAACUGUUGACCUUGAAUUACUGUGAAGCGGUUAGAAUAUGUAGUGUAGCGGUGAAAUGCUUAGAGAUUACAUAGAAUACCGAUUGCGAAGGCAGAUCACUAACAGUAUAUUGACGCUGAUGAACGAAAGCGUGGGUAGCGAACGGGAUUAGAAACCCGAGUAGUCC